rnacentral:rRNA from 1 species
GACGAAACGCUGGCGGCGCGCCUAACACAUGCAAGUUCGAACGAGCGAGAGAGAGCUUCGCUUUUCUCAAGCGAGCGGCGAACGGGCGAGUAACGCGCGAGGAACCUGCCUCAAAGAGGGGGACAACAGUCGGAAACGACUGCUAAUACCGCAUAAGCCCACGGGUCGGCAUCGACCAGAGGGAAAAGGAGCAAUCCGCUUUGAGAUGGCCUCGCGUCCGAUUAGCUAGUUGGUGAGGUAAUGGCCCACCAAGGCAACGAUCGGUAGCCGGACUGAGAGGUUGAACGGCCACAUUGGGACUGAGACACGGCCCAGACUCCUACGGGAGGCAGCAGUGGGGAAUAUUGCACAAUGGGGGAAACCCUGAUGCAGCGACGCCGCGUGGAGGAAGAAGGUCUUCGGAUUGUAAACUCCUGUUGUUGAGGAAGAUAAUGACGGUACUCAACAAGGAAGUGACGGCUAACUACGUGCCAGCAGCCGCGGUAAAACGUAGGUCACAAGCGUUGUCCGGAAUUACUGGGUGUAAAGGGAGCGCAGGCGGGAAGACAAGUUGGAAGUGAAAUCUAUGGGCUCAACCCAUAAACUGCUUUCAAAACUGUUUUUCUUGAGUAGUGCAGAGGUAGGCGGAAUUCCCGGUGUAGCGGUGGAAUGCGUAGAUAUCGGGAGGAACACCAGUGGCGAAGGCGGCCUACUGGGCACCAACUGACGCUGAGGCUCGAAAGUGUGGGUAGCAAACAGGAUUAGAUACCCUGGUAGUCCACACCGUAAACGAUGAUUACUAGGUGUUGGAGGAUUGACCCCUUCAGUGCCGCAGUUAACACAAUAAGUAAUCCACCUGGGGAGUACGACCGCAAGGUUGAAACUCAAAGGAAUUGACGGGGGCCCGCACAAGCAGUGGAGUAUGUGGUUUAAUUCGACGCAACGCGAAGAACCUUACCAAGUCUUGACAUCCCUUGACGAACAUAGAAAUAUGUUUUCUCUUCGGAGCAAGGAGACAGGUGGUGCAUGGUUGUCGUCAGCUCGUGUCGUGAGAUGUUGGGUUAAGUCCCGCAACGAGCGCAACCCUUACUGUCAGUUACUACGCAAGAGGACUCUGGCAGGACUGCCGUUGACAAAACGGAGGAAGGUGGGGAUGACGUCAAAUCAUCAUGCCCUUUAUGACUUGGGCUACACACGUACUACAAUGGCGUUAAACAAAGAGAAGCAAGACCGCGAGGUGGAGCAAAACUCAGAAACAGCGUCCCAGUUCGGACUGCAGGCUGCAACUCGCCUGCACGAAGUCGGAAUUGCUAGUAAUCGUGGAUCAGCAUGCCACGGUGAAUACGUUCCCGGGCCUU